UAUCUCUGUAGAGUCUGCAUAUCAAUAAGCGGAGGAAAAGAAACUAACAAGGAUUCCCUUAGUAACGGCGAGUGAAGCGGGAAGAGCUCAAAUUUGAAAUCUUCAAGGUUCUACCUUGACGAAUUGUAGUUUAAAGAAGUGUUUUCUGUUAGAUGAGUAGCAAAAGUUCCUUGGAAUGGGACAUCAUAGAGGGCGAGAAUCCCGUAUUUGGUUAUUCAUUCUAGCUUUGUGAUACACUUUCAAAGAGUCGGAUUGUUUGGGAAUGCAGUCCAAAAUGGGUGGUAAAUUUCAUCUAAAGCUAAAUAUUGGCGAGAGACCGAUAGCGAACAAGUACCGUGAGGGAAAGAUGAAAAGAACUUUGAAAAGAGAGUUAAACAGUACGUGAAAUUGUCAAAAGGGAAGCGUUUGACACCAGUGUUGUUUUUCCGAAAAUCAAUUACGAAUGGCUUGAUUUUGUGUUGUAUUGACCUUAUCAGCUUUCUUCACUUUUUUCGAAUCUUUCUUAAUGCACUUUUCGGUUAACAAGUCAACAUCAAUUUCUUUUGUUGUAAAAGAGUAUUCGGAAGGUGGCUUUCUUUUCGGAGAAAGUGUUUAUAGCCCUAUACUUCUACAAUCGGAGAGAUUGAGGUCUGCAGCGUAGAUCCUUCGGGGUUAGAUACACUUGUGCUAAGUUGUAGCUUUUCAUAGACAACUUGUUGACUAUGUUUAGUCAUGCGGCUUACUCGCUUGUGCUAUUUUACCUACGCUUAGGAUGUUGACUGAUAUGUAGUCGU
rnacentral:rRNA from 1 species